UGGGGAAUUUUGGACAAUGGGCGCAAGCCUGAUCCAGCCAUGCCGCGUGAGUGAAGAAGGCCUUCGGGUUGUAAAGCUCUUUCGGACGGGAAGAAAUGGCGGGCUCUAACAUAGCCUGUCGAUGACGGUACCGUAAGAAGAAGCACCGGCUAACUUCGUGCCAGCAGCCGCGGUAAUACGAAGGGUGCAAGCGUUACUCGGAAUUACUGGGCGUAAAGCGUGCGUAGGUGGUUGUUUAAGUCUGAUGUGAAAGCCCUGGGCUCAACCUGGGAAGGGCAUUGGAAACUUGGCAGCGAGAGUGCGGUAGAGGGUAGUGGAAUUCCCGGUGUAGCAGGGAAAUGCGUAGAGAUCGGGAGGAACAUCUGUGGCGAAGGCGACUGCCUGGACCAGCACUGACACUGAGGCACGAAAGCGUGGGGAGCAAACA
rnacentral:rRNA from 1 species